AUCGUCGGCCCCGUGCCGUUCAAGGACGUCGUCCAGAAAGAGGAGGAUGAACACCCGCCGGAAGAGUACGCGGACAUCAUCUCCACCUUGCCGGGCAUCACCACCGGCUUUGGGCAGUUGCUGUGCUACCAGGGUGUCUGGCUGCGCCCGUGGAUGGUCCCUGGGGUGAUCUCUGUCCAGCGGCGUCUCGUGCCGCGCCCCGACGACGUGCUCCUAGCGAGCCCGCCCAAGUGCGGCACCACCUGGCUCAAGGCUCUGUCCUUGGCCACCAUGGCACGGGCCACCUACCCGCCGACCAGCGCCGAUCACCCAUUCCUCCGCCUCAACCCGCACGACUGCGUCCCCCACCUUGAGGCCCUCUUCGGUGCCGGCCAGGAAGCCAAGCUGGAGGCGCUGCCGUCACGUAGGCUGAUGCACACGCACAUGCACCACUCCCUGCUGCCACCCUCCUUGGCCGACUGCAAAAUCGUCUACAUAUGCAGGGAGCCCAAGGAUAUGCUGGUUUCCAUGUGGCACUUCAUCAUGGCCGCAGGAGGCGACGCCUUCCCCUUCUCCGACCUCUUCGAGUUUGCAUGCGAGGGUAAAAACCCCCACGGCCUCAUUUGGGAUCACGUUCUCGGCUACUCGCGCGCCAGCAAAGCAAGUCCGGACAGGGUCCUCUUCCUAAGGUACGAGGAGAUGCUGCUUGACCCUGUCAGCAGUGUCCGGGAGCUCGCCUUGUUCCUCGGUGUGCCCUUCACGGCGGCGGAGGAGGCGACGGGUUCGCCCAUGGACAUUUGCAACCUGUGCAGCAUCGACACGAUGAAAGACCUGGAGGCGAACAACACUGGAGUGGCUGGGCAGUUCGUGGAGGUCCCGCAUCAAUCCUUCUUCAGGAAAGGGGUCGUGGGGGACUGGGCCAACCAUAUGACGCCGGAGAUGGCCCACCGCAUCGACGCCAUCGUCGAGGACAAGCUCCGGGGAUCCGGACUCAGCUUUACGCGCUGA
rnacentral:rRNA from 1 species